rnacentral:lncRNA from 1 species
CUUCAGAAGAACUUAAUGGAUCAUAGAGCUGUCUACAGCCACCACAAUUUCAACCAAAUCCCCAAGGCAACACCUGAGAGCAGAAGUAGGCAGCAGUGUGAAAUAGCCUGACUGAAUACUGGCAAGUAGUAGUGCCAUCAGAUACCAGCUGGACCAUCUGAUACGGAAAAUAAGUUACCCAUUCCCAGUAGAAGAGAGGAGGCUAAUUUUGUUGUCAUGUGAAAACAAGCAUAUGUAGAAGUGAAGGUGCAGAACAGGCAAGGAAGCAUGGCUGUUUAUGGAGAGCUUUCAGCAACAGGAAGCAGAAAGAAUCAAGCAGAGCACAAAUGUGUCAAUCUGGAAGAGAACUGCCUCUAAAGUCACAGAAGGAACAGCCCACCACCCAGAAGAAUAAAGAGAGGCAAUUUUUCUGUGAUUUUAAAUGUAUAAAAAGAAAAAAAUAUCCAUUGCAGCGUUG